AACGAACGCUGGCGGCAUGCCUAACACAUGCAAGUCGAACGAGACCUUCGGGUCUAGUGGCGCACGGGUGCGUAACGCGUGGGAAUCUGCCCUUGGGUUCGGAAUAACAGCGAGAAAUUGCUGCUAAUACCGGAUGAUGACGUAAGUCCAAAGAUUUAUCGCCCAAGGAUGAGCCCGCGUAGGAUUAGCUAGUUGGUGAGGUAAAGGCUCACCAAGGCGACGAUCCUUAGCUGGUCUGAGAGGAUGAUCAGCCACACUGGGACUGAGACACGGCCCAGACUCCUACGGGAGGCAGCAGUGGGGAAUAUUGGACAAUGGCGAAAGCCUGAUCCAGCAAUGCCGCGUGAGUGAUGAAGGCCUUAGGGUUGUAAAGCUCUUUACCCGGAUGAUAAUGACAGUACCGGGAGAA
rnacentral:rRNA from 1 species